rnacentral:tRNA from 1 species
UUUAUUAAUUAAUCUAGGGUAUGAAGCUAUUAAUUCAGCUUAUAUUACAAAUAUCCCAUU